GCGAACGCUGGCGGCAGGCCUAACACAUGCAAGUCGAACGGACCCUUCGGGGUUAGUGGCGGACGGGUGAGUAACGCGUGGGAAUCUACCGAGCCCUACGGAAUAACGCAUGGAAACGUGUGCUAAUACCGUAUACGCCCUACGGGGGAAAGAUUUAUCGGGGUUUGAUGAGCCCGCGUUGGAUUAGCUAGUUGGUGGGGUAAAGGCCUACCAAGGCGACGAUCCAUAGCUGGUCUGAGAGGAUGAUCAGCCACAUUGGGACUGAGACACGGCCCAAACUCCUACGGGAGGCAGCAGUGGGGAAUAUUGGACAAUGGGCGCAAGCCUGAUCCAGCCAUGCCGCGUGAGUGAUGAAGGUCUUAGGAUUGUAAAGCUCUUUCACCGGAGAAGAUAAUGACGGUAUCCGGAGAAGAAGCCCCGGCUAACUUCGU
rnacentral:rRNA from 1 species